UACCGGAUAAGAAAGCAGAUCGCAUGAUCAGUACUUUUAAAAGGCGGACGUAAAGCUGUCGCUAGUGGGGAUCGGCCCCCGCGGUGCAUUAGCUAGUUGGUAAGGUAAAGGCUUACCAAGGCGAUGAUGCAUAGCCCGAGUUGAGAGACUGAUCGGCCACAUUGGGGACUGAGACACGGGCCCAAAACUCCUACGGGGAGGCAGCAGUAGGGAAUCUUCCACAAUGGACGCAAGUCUGAUGGAGCAACGCCGCGUGAGUGAAGUAAGGUUUUCGGAUACGUAAAGCUCUGUUGUUGGUGAAGAAGGAUAGAGGUAGUAACUGGUCCUUUAUUUGACGGUAAUCAACCAGAAAGUCACGGCUAACUACGUGCCCAGCAGCCGCGGGUAAU
rnacentral:rRNA from 1 species